rnacentral:rRNA from 1 species
AAUGAACGCUGGCGGCAGGCCUAACACAUGCAAGCCGAGCGGGGUUUUCGGACCUAGCGGCGGACGGGUGAGUAAUGCGUAGGAAGCUACCCGACAGAGGGGGAUACCAGUUGGAAACGACUGUUAAUACCGCAUAAUGUCUACGGACCAAAGUGUGGGACCUUCGGGCCACAUGCUGUCGGAUGCGCCUACGUGGGAUUAGCUAGUUGGUGAGGUAAUGGCUCACCAAGGCGACGAUCCCUAGCUGGUUUGAGAGGAUGAUCAGCCACACUGGAACUGAGACACGGUCCAGACUCCUACGGGAGGCAGCAGUGGGGAAUAUUGGACAAUGGGCGCAAGCCUGAUCCAGCCAUGCCGCGUGUGUGAAGAAGGCC